rnacentral:rRNA from 1 species
AUACGUAGGGUGCGAGCGUUGUCCGGAAUUACUGGGCGUAAAGAGCUCGUAGGUGGUUUGUCGCGUCGUCUGUGAAAUUCCGGGGCUUAACUCCGGGCGUGCAGGCGAUACGGGCAUAACUUGAGUACUGUAGGGGAGACUGGAAUUCCUGGUGUAGCGGUGAAAUGCGCGGAUAUCAGGAGGAACACCGGUGGCGAAGGCGGGUCUCUGGGCAGUAACGGACGCUGAGGAGCGAAAGCAUGGGUAGCGAACAGGAUUAGAUACCCUGGUAGUCCAUGCCGUAAACGGUGGGCGCUAGGUGUAGGGGUCUUCCACGACUUCUGUGCCGUAGCUAACGCAUUAAGCGCCCCGCCUGGGGAGUACGGCCGCAAGGCUAAAACUCAAAGGAAUUGACGGGG